GCGGGUUUAGCUCAGUUGGGAGAGCGUCAGACUGAAGUCAAAACUUCAGGAAAACUCAAUCUGAAGGUCGUGUGUUCGAUCCACACAAACCGCA
rnacentral:tRNA from 2 species